CGGCGCACGGGUGAGUAACACGUGGGUAAUCUACCUCUGGGUGGGGAAUAACAGCCGGAAACGGCUGCUAAUACCGCAUAAUGCAGCGGCACCACAUGGUGACAGUUGUUAAAGCGGGGGAUCGUAAGACCUCGCGCCUGAUGAGGAGCCCGCGGCGGAUUAGCUAGUUGGUAGGGUAACGGCCUACCAAGGCGACGAUCCGUAGCCGGCCUGAGAGGGCGGACGGCCACACUGGCACUGACACACGGGCCAGACUCCUACGGGAGGCAGCAGUCGGGAAUUUUGGGCAAUGGGCGAAAGCCUGACCCAGCAACGCCGCGUGAAGGAUGAAGCUUUUCGGAGUGUAAACUUCAUAAGAAUGGGACGAAUAAGGAGGGGUUAAUACCCCCUUUGAUGACGGUACCAUUUGUAAGCUCCGGCUAAC
rnacentral:rRNA from 1 species